rnacentral:tRNA from 1 species
GGGGAUUUGGCUCAGUGGUAGAGCGCUUGCCUAGCAAACGCAAGGCCCUGGGUUCGAUCCCCAGCUCCG